rnacentral:rRNA from 1 species
AGUCGACGGUGAAAGCGGAGCUUGCUCCGCCGGAUCAGUGGCGAACGGGUGAGUAACACGUGAGCAAUCUGCCCCAGACUCUGGGAUAAGCGCUGGAAACGGCGUCUAAUACCGGAUACGAGCUACGAAGGCAUCUUCAGUAGCUGGAAAGAACUUCGGUCUGGGAUGAGCUCGCGGCCUAUCAGCUUGUUGGUGAGGUAGCGGCUCACCAAGGCGUCGACGGGUAGCCGGCCUGAGAGGGUGACCGGCCACACUGGGACUGAGACACGGCCCAGACUCCUACGGGAGGCAGCAGUGGGGAAUAUUGCACAAUGGGCGCAAGCCUGAUGCAGCAACGCCGCGUGAGGGACGACGGCCUUCGGGUUGUAAACCUCUUUUAGCAGGGAAGAAGCCUUCGGGUGACGGUACCUGCAGAAAAAGCACCGGCUAACUACGUGCCAGCAGCCGCGGUAAUACGUAGGGUGCAAGCGUUAUCCGGAAUUAUUGGGCGUAAAGAGCUCGUAGGCGGUCUGUCGCGUCUGCUGUGAAAACCCGAGGCUCAACCUCGGGCCUGCAGUGGGUACGGGCAGACUAGAGUGCGGUAGGGGAGAUUGGAAUUCCUGGUGUAGCGGUGGAAUGCGCAGAUAUCAGGAGGAACACCGAUGGCGAAGGCAGAUCUCUGGGCCGUAACUGACGCUGAGGAGCGAAAGGGUGGGGAGCAAACAGGCUUAGAUACCCUGGUAGUCCACCCCGUAAACGUUGGGAACUAGUUGUGGGGUCCAUUCCACGGAUUCCGUGACGCAGCUAACGCAUUAAGUUCCCCGCCUGGGGAGUACGGCCGCAAGGCUAAAACUCAAAGGAAUUGACGGGGACCCGCACAAGCGGCGGAGCAUGCGGAUUAAUUCGAUGCAACGCGAAGAACCUUACCAAGGCUUGACAUAUACGAGAACGGGCCAGAAAUGGUCAACUCUUUGGACACUCGUAAACAGGUGGUGCAUGGUUGUCGUCAGCUCGUGUCGUGAGAUGUUGGGUUAAGUCCCGCAACGAGCGCAACCCUCGUUCUAUGUUGCCAGCACGUAAUGGUGGGAACUCAUGGGAUACUGCCGGGGUCAACUCGGAGGAAGGUGGGGAUGACGUCAAAUCAUCAUGCCCCUUAUGUCUUGGGCUUCACGCAUGCUACAAUGGCCGGUACAAAGGGCUGCAAUACCGCGAGGUGGAGCGAAUCCCAAAAAGCCGGUCCCAGUUCGGAUUGAGGUCUGCAACUCGACCUCAUGAAGUCGGAGUCGCUAGUAAUCGCAGAUCAGCAACGCUGCGGUGAAUACGUUCCCGGGUCUUGUACACAC